CAAGAUGCUGUGAACUAAAAGUUAUUAAAUACUACGAAUAUUACACAUUAAAUUAAUUGUGUUUAUUUUAUAGCCUGACUAAUUUAAUAUGAUUACAUACAUAUGUCGGAACCGGCCGGAUCGGACCAUUAUAUCAUAUAACUACCAUAGAAAUAAUCAGUCGGAACCUCUAAUAGAAGAAUCGUUUACAAUAACAG